rnacentral:rRNA from 1 species
GUGGGGAAUCUUAGACAAUGGGGGAAACCCUGAUCUAGCCAUGCCGCGUGAGCGAUGAAGGCCUUAGGGUUGUAAAGCUCUUUCAGCUGGGAAGAUAAUGACGGUACCAGCAGAAGAAGCCCCGGCUAACUCCGUGCCAGCAGCCGCGGUAAUACGGAGGGGGCUAGCGUUGUUCGGAAUUACUGGGCGUAAAGCGCGCGUAGGCGGACCAGAAAGUUGGAGGUGAAAUCCCAGGGCUCAACCUUGGAACUGCCUUCAAAACUCCUGGUCUGGAGUUCCAGAGAGGUGAGUGGAAUUCCGAGUGUAGAGGUGAAAUUCGUAGAUAUUCGGAGGAACACCAGUGGCGAAGGCGGCUCACUGGCUCGAUACUGACGCUGAGGUGCGAAAGCGUGGGGAGCAAACAGGAUUAGAUACCCCAGUAGUCC